UUAUUUAUUAGUUAUUGAGGUUUAAAUCUAUUGUAGGAAUUACAAGGGCUUGGUUUAGGGUUUGGUCAAGAAUUGGUUAGGAUUUGGAUUAGGAUUUGGUUUAGGGUUUAGGAUUUGGUUAGGAUUUGAUUUAAGAUUUGGUUAGGAUUUGGUUUAGGAUUUAGGAUUUAGGAUUUGGAUUAGGGUUUGAUUUAAGGUUUGGAAUUUGAUUAGGAUUUAAUUUAGGAUUUAAGAUUUCAUUAGGAUUUUAUUUAGAGUUUAGGAUUUGAUUAGGAUUUUAUUUAAGAUUUGAUUUAGGAUUUAGGAUUUAAUUAGGGUUUGAUUUAGGAUUUUAUUAGGAUUUAUUUAGAUUUUAAGAUUUAAUUAAUUUCGACCUAAAGUUUGAAUGAAGUCCAAUAGGAUUUUUACUAAAAUUAAAUUAAGAUUGAAUUGAGAUAUAUUUGAGAGAUAUUUGUGAUUAUUCUAAUAUUUCUUUAAGAUUUCUUAUUAUUUCU
rnacentral:lncRNA from 1 species